CCUACGGGUGGCAGCAGUCGAGAAUCAUUCACAAUGGGGGAAACCCUGAUGGUGCGACGCCGCGUGGGGGAAUGAAGGUCUUCGGAUUGUAAACUCCUGUCAUGUGGGAGCAAAUUAAAAAGAUAGUACCACAAGAGGAAGAGACGGCCAACUCUGUGCCAGCAGUCGCGGUAAUACAGAGGUCUCAAGCGUUGUUCGGAAUCACUGGGCGUAAAGCGUGCGUAGGCUGUUUCGUAAGUCGUGUGUGAAAGGCGCGGGCUCAACCCGCGGACGGCACAUGAUACUGCGGGACUAGAGUGAUGGAGGGGGAACCGGAAUUCUCGGUGUAGCAGUGAAAUGCGUAGAUAUCGGGAGGAACACUCGUGGCGAAGGCGGGUUCCUGGACAUUAACUGACGCUGAGGCACGAAGGCCAGGGGAGCGAAAGGGAUUAGAUACCCGUGUAGUC
rnacentral:rRNA from 1 species